rnacentral:scRNA from 1 species
GGGUCAAUGAUGACUAGCCCACUGCGCAAGCUGAUCAGUGCAUGUCUUUUAGUGCAUUGCUGGAGAAAUCAGUGCUGCUCAUUGCCUGAGACCC